UACGUAGGGUGCGAGCGUUGUCCGGAAUUAUUGGGCGUAAAGAGCUUGUAGGCGGUUUGUCACGUCUGCUGUGAAAGCCCGGGGCUUAACCCCGGGUCUGCAGUGGGUACGGGCAGGCUAGAGUAUGGCAGGGGAGACUGGAAUUCCUGGUGUAGCGGUGGAAUGCGCAGAUAUCAGGAGGAACACCGAUGGCGAAGGCAGGUCUCUGGGCCAUUACUGACGCUGAGAAGCGAAAGCAUGGGGAGCGAACAGG
rnacentral:rRNA from 1 species